GACGAAGGGGGCUAGCGUUGUUCGGAAUUACUGGGCGUAGAGCGUGUGUAGGUGGUUGUCAUAGUCAGGUGUGAAAGCCUUGAGCUCAACUCAAGAAAUGCACUUGAUACUGGGCGACUAGAGGACCGGAGAGGAUAGUGGAAUUCCCAGUGUAGUGGUGAAAUACGUAGAGAUUGGGAAGAACACCAGUGGCGAAGGCGGCUAUCUGGACGGUUUCUGACACUAAGACUCGAAAGCGUGGGGAGCAAACGGG
rnacentral:rRNA from 1 species